CCUACGGGGGGCAGCAGGCGCGAAAACUUUACAAUGCGGGCAACCGUGAUAAGGGAACCUCGAGUGCCUGUACAUGCAGGCUGUCUGGGUGUCUAAAACACACCCAAAGAAAGGGCCGGGCAAGACCGGUGCCAGCCGCCGCGGUAAUACCGGCGGCUCGAGUGGUGGCCACUUUUAUUGGGCUUAAAGCGUUCGUAGCUGGGUUGUUAAGUCUCUUGGGAAAUCUGGCAGCUUAACUGUCAGGCGUCUAAGAGAUACUGGCAAUCUAGGAACCGGGAGAGGU
rnacentral:rRNA from 1 species